rfam:Schistosoma mansoni, Puerto Rico, WGS project CABG01000000 data, contig: 0198
GUCCAGCUGAUGAGUCCUCAAAAGAACGAAACGCGCAUCCUGGAU